ACUCAAAGGAAUUGACGGGGGCCCGCACAAGCGGCGGAGCAUGUGGAUUAAUUCGAUGCAACGCGAAGAACCUUACCUGGGUUUGACAUGCACAGGACGUGCCUAGAGAUAGGUAUUCCCUUGUGGCCUGUGUGCAGGUGGUGCAUGGCUGUCGUCAGCUCGUGUCGUGAGAUGUUGGGUUAAGUCCCGCAACGAGCGCAACCCUUGUCUCAUGUUGCCAGCACGUCAUGGUGGGGACUCGUGAGAGACUGCCGGGGUCAACUCGGAGGAAGGUGGGGAUGACGUCAAGUCAUCAUGCCCCUUAUGUCCAGGGCUUCACACAUGCUACAAUGGCCGGUACAAAGGGCUGCGAUGCCGUGAGGUGGAGCGAAUCCUUUCAAAGCCGGUCUCAGUUCGGAUCGGGGUCGAGUUGCAGACCCCGUGAAGUCGGAGUCGCUAGUAAUCGCAGAUCAGCAACGCUGCGGUGAAUACGUUCCCGGGCCUUGUACACACCGCCCGU
rnacentral:rRNA from 1 species